UUGUGCAACUUAGAACACAUGCGACGAAAGUUUCUAAGAUCUCAUGACCAGGAAAUCCCUGGUUUCAUUGCUAUAAAUACCUCCACUACGAGCAAGUAUGGAGGUCUCAUCCACCACACUCCACCAAGCUAAGCCCAAAAAUGGCUCCAAAGCCUCUACUCCUCUUCCUUGCCAUCCACCUGCUUGCUACUGCCAUGUUCUUCACUCCGGCAGCAGCCGUAGAGACCCAAGCAGAGGAGGCUAAAGAACAACUCACUGCGAAGCAAAUGGGCGAAACAGAGGGUGUUGGAGAGGAGAAAAAAGUGUGCUACUACAUCAGAGGUCACAGAGUCUGCCACCCACCUACGGCUCAGGCAGAGACACACAGUGUUGAAGAAGAUAAAAGAGUUUGCUAUUAUGUCAGGGGUCACAGAGUCUGCCACCCACCGGCUCCCUAAAUGGCAGAGUGCAUCACGUUGCUGUACAUGGCCUCCCCCAUGAGUAUUGCUUGAUGUAGUGAGGAGAAGUUUGGAAAUAAAACCAAACCCUGAGUGUGUUUCUGUGCUACAUGUAAGUAGCCUACCAUAUGUGCCUUAUAUCUAUGUUAAAUAAUUGGGGAGGUGCCAUAAAGUUGUUCUCAAAAAAGAACAUGGAGAAAAAAGAGUUCCCUACAUAAGAUUGUGUCUUCUUCUUCCUUUUUCUUCACUGAGAACUGAGAGUAGGUAGUUUCCUUCUUUUAUCAUCUUCUUUGAUGGUCUGGAACAUGGAACUUGUGGUGCUGAUGGCCAGAACUAUCUAGCUCCAAAAUUAAAACCUAUGGAUCCAUUGCGCUGGCCUACUCUUGUGUAAUUUAAUAUAAGAGAGUUUUUCUUAUAAA